UUUUUCUUCUGCGCGUUCACGUUAGUGCCUCUUAAAAUACAUUUUCUGAUGUGUUCUCUCUCUUAUCUCCUGUAGCUGUGCUUAGCUUCCUGUGCGUGUGUUGCUUUUAUUCCCGUGACCUUCCCAUCUGCUCCAAAACACACACAGAUCUUGCAUAAAGCUCUACACACCAGAUCUGCCUCCUUCCGUUAGUCAUUUACUCCCUCCGGCCGAUCUCCAACUCUAGUCAUCUGCAUCCAACCGAUCUCCAGCUCAUUGCCGUCCUUUCUAGCGUCCACCGUGUCCUUGCUUCGGAGUGCUUCUUCUUCUUGUCGCCUCUCGAUCCUACUGUGUCCAUCGGAUCUACACUUCCCAUCGCUGGAUCUGCUCUCCAUCGCUUGUCUUUGUUAAGCAUUCUCUUCCCGAAUGUCGCGUUUUGAUUACUUAUAUUUUAUAUACCUCUCGACUCAAGACUGCUCGUGCUUGUCCUCGUGUGGCGUACCAAUCGGAGAUACAUGGAAAGGGAGAUGCCAGCCUACAGUAGGGACCGGGAGUGGGUCUUAGUUGUCUUCACCUUUAAUUAUUAAAUAACAAUAUUAAAUGUUAGUGAUUGUUAAUUAUUAGUUGAUCAAUUGAACUGAAGAGAGUUGGGAGGGGCAUUCUGGCAAGUCUUGAACUGUACUAUAUCCAAAUCAUCAACAUAUUUAUCUUAUGUUUGGAUUAUGUUUUCAAGAUUAUAUAGCAUGGGUUAGAUCAAUCAAAAGCAACUUAAGUUAGCUUUUGUCUAAUCUUUAAUUUGUAAACUUUGUGGAAAUGUCAGUCUUGUAAACGGGCACUACACUCGGGGUUAGAUUGUCAAUUUUUGAGUAAAAAAUAAAUAUAAUUAGAAGGAAUAUAUUCUCUUGUCUUCA